ensembl:snRNA U2 U2 spliceosomal RNA
AUCGCUUCUCGGCCUUUUGGCUAAGAUCAAGUGUAGUAUCUGUUCUUAUCAGUUUAAUAUCUGAUACGUCCCCUACCCGGGGACUACAUAUUAAAUUGAUUUUUGGAUCACGAUAUAGCCUAUAUAUGUAAUGACUGUUUAAUAACAAUAGCAUGCAUAAGAGCCUUUGUGUAAAGGUCUUUCUUUACAUUUUUGAUGAGUAGACUGUAGCCUAA